rnacentral:lncRNA from 1 species
CAAAAAUUUAUGAUUACUGUUGACAAACUACAAGAAGCAUAUGCGAUAUGCAGAAUAUGCCUAAAAAGCUGUGAUCUUCCUUAAAACACUGAAAUCCAAGUCCUCCAAAUUUGGCAGAGGAGAAAGCCUCCCUGUUCAUGAGAAGGCAGUCGGACCACUAACCUUCACGGUCAUUCCUCUGGGAUUCCCCCCUUCCUUAGGGAUCUCUCUGACUGCAUUUGCACAUUCACACUGUCCUGAGGGACUUAAGGAGCUUUUCAUCUAUGUUUGCGCACUUGUAUUCCACUCACCAAACAUGUUAUUAACUACUCUUUUUUGGUUCAAGUGAACCAGCCACUCAUGCAAAACACACUUUUAUGCUCAUGGAGGUAAUAUAUAGGUCUUCCUUUAGAAAAGGAAAUUUGCAAAAAUAACGAUGUUACUUAAUAAAAUAAAAAACAUAAUUUAUUCUUGUAAUUUACCCUGUUAUGUAAUCAAAGGUAUAUACAAUUUGUAAGUACAUCAUAGAUUACUGAUAUGCUCAAUUAGAGCCAGUAAUUAAUAUUUGCAACAGAAGCAUAAAUAUGAUCUUUAAAAACUGACUAAUCACUUUUGCUUGUUUAAAAUUUUUUAUCCUUAAAUAGUCUUUAGUGUGAUAUAUACAAUAGUAUUUCCCUAAUUUAAGCAUUUUCUAGUCUUAUUUACAAAAUAAAUUGAGUCCUAUUAUUUCAUUUGAAAUGAAUUUUUAUUUUGAAAAUAAUUUGGUAGAACAUAAAACAAAAUCUUCUUGGGUAGUUAAAUAUUUAAUGUUGACACAGUCUUUUUGUGACAUAUUUG